UUGCGCAAGUGAUGUUUUAUCGAGCAACAUUAGCAAUCCUCUGCCAACGCCGCAGGCCUAUUCUUUUAACCAGAAUCACUGCCCGGACACAGCGUCCAGCGCGACUCGCCGAAUCAGGCCAGUUGCGGCCUCCCACCCAACCGGGUGCGCCAGGCCCCCGGGCUACAUACUGUCCACAAGACGGCAUGAGGUGAGCCGGCGUCAAAAGCGUCGAGCCAGGACGAAGUAUCCCAAGGGGGCCAUCUGGCCCCCU
rfam:Pseudomonas floridensis strain GEV388 GEV-388_contig_116, whole genome shotgun sequence.